GAUGAACGCUGGCGGCGUGCCUAAUACAUGCAAGUCGAGCGAACAGACGAGGAGCUUGCUCCUCUGACGUUAGCGGCGGACGGGUGAGUAACACGUGGAUAACCUACCUAUAAGACUGGGAUAACUUCGGGAAACCGGAGCUAAUACCGGAUAAUAUAUUGAACCGCAUGGUUCAAUAGUGAAAGACGGUUUUGCUGUCACUUAUAGAUGGAUCCGCGCCGCAUUAGCUAGUUGGUAAGGUAACGGCUUACCAAGGCAACGAUGCGUAGCCGACCUGAGAGGGUGAUCGGCCACACUGGAACUGAGACACGGUCCAGACUCCUACGGGAGGCAGCAGUAGGGAAUCUUCCGCAAUGGGCGAAAGCCUGACGGAGCAACGCCGCGUGAGUGAUGAAGGUCUUCGGAUCGUAAAACUCUGUUAUUAGGGAAGAACAAAUGUGUAAGUAACUAUGCACGUCUUGACGGAACCUAAGCAGAAAGCCACGGCUAACUACUU
rnacentral:rRNA from 1 species